AGCAGCAGUAUGACUGCAAUGAAACAGAAAAAGUCCUCAGCCUUCACUGUAAAUGCUUCCUUCUUUCGACAAUUAAGAGGUGUUCUCAGAUGUGUACAAGUACUCAGGAUUAAAAAAGGAGUAUGAGAGUGCUGCCCUAAUAAACUGGCAAUCUACUAAAGGAGUAACUGGACAUUAAAAAUUUCUCCAUAAUCACGGAUAAAUAAUUCUUGCACCUUAAAAGAGAAAAU